UCCCUGGUGGUCCAGUGGUUAAGAUUCUGAGCUCCCACUGCAGAGGGCCUGGGUUCAAUCCUUGGCCAGGGAA
rnacentral:tRNA from 1 species